rnacentral:rRNA from 1 species
UAAUCGCGAAUCAGAAUGUCGCGGUGAAUACGUUCCCGGGCCUUGUACACACCGCCCGUCACACCAUGGGAGUGGGUUGCACCAGAAGUAGCUAGUCUAACCUUCGGGAGGACGGUUACCACGGUGUGAUUCAUGACUGGGGUGAAGUCGUAACAAGGUAGCCGUAGGGGAACCUGCGGCUGGAUCACCUCCUUAA